GGCAGCGCGGGCCGGAUGCCGGGAUCCGUCGCCCCGGCCUCGUUCGCGACAUGUCGGCCUCCCAGGCGCGGGCCGCCGUGUCGGGCCCGGGGCCCGGGGGCCUCAGAAGGUCGUGGGCCGAGCUGCUGGAGGGAAGGGUCAGGAGGCAGAAGUUGGGUCCUGAAGGGGAGCAGAAGGUGAAGGAGUCGGCUCUGCGUCUCCUGAGAAGCCACCUAAACCUGGGGGACCUUGUGCUUGAGGUGGAAGCUCCACCCGGCAAACAGUUAUGUCUCAGCCGCUGGUUUGAUUGUGACAGUCCUGGGGCCCACAGUGACCUUUCCUGUUCAUUGAUAGGCUCUGCUCUGCGGGAUCGAGCCGCGCGGCUGGGUGUUCCGGUGGCCGUCCUGUCCAGCCAGGUGGUGGCCUGCGGCCUCGUGCGGGUCUGUGAGGCGGACGCGGGGCUCCCUCCGCAGGUGCUGCUGUCGCCGGAGCAGAGGAAGAAACUGUCUUCCUUGUUUGAGGUCGCUGAGAAUUUGUCAGCACAAAACAUGUUCUCCCGUCUCUCCUUCUGUCAAGAGUUAUGGAAAGUGCAGAAUUCUUUGCUGCUUGAAGCUGUGUGGCGUCUUCAUGUUCAAAAGAUUGUAAGCCUCCAAGAGCUGCUGGAAAGCCGUGCCGACCCUUGUGCCGUGGUGGCCUGGCUCUCCAGGGACCUGCGCCUGCUGUGUGAGCAGACAGAGGCGCCCCCUCCGCACGCCGCCGUCGCCAGGGCUGUGCUUGCUGAUUUUGUGCAAAUGUUCGUUUUGAGGGGAUUCCAGAAGAAUGCGGAUGUGAGAGGAAACGUGGAGCCGGAGCGGAUGCCCCAGGUGGCCGUUGCUGUUCUCGAGAGGAUGCUGGCUUCUGCGCUUGAAGCUUUGGCGGCCGGGAUGCAGGAGGGGUCCCCAGCACACAAGGCAGUGAGCUGCUGGUUUGGCAUAUUCAGUGGACACAUGUAUCGGAGCAUAAUUUCAACGGAGUCUCCAAAGAGGUUCUUCUGUCACACUCUGACCCAGAUCCUCACCCACAAGCCUGUGCUGAAAGUUUCUGACGCUAUUCAGAUGCAGAGAGACUGGAGCUUCGCAAGGACCCCUCCUCUGCUCAGCGGCCUGUACCGCAGGCUGUUUGUGAUCCUGAGCCCAGAGGAGCUGGUGGGCCACUUACAAGAAGUUCUGGAGACACAGGAGGUGAACUGGCAGCACAUGCUGUCCUGUGUGUCCACGCUGGUGACCUGCUUGCCAGACGCGCAGCAGCUGGUUGCUGGUUGGGUGGCCCGUUUGCUGGCCCGUGCGUUCGAGAGCUGCGACCUGGACAGCAUGGUCUCGGCGUUCCUGGUCGCACGGCAGGCCGCUCUGGAGGGCCCAGCUGCCUUCCCAUCCUACGCCGCCUGGUUCCAGGCCACCUUCGGCAGCACGAGAGGCUUCCAUGGCUGCAGCAGAAAGGGGCUGGUCUUCCUCUUCAAGUUCCUGUCUGACCUCGUGCCCUUCGAGGCCCCCCGGUACCUGCAGGUGCACGUCCUCCACCCGCCACUGGUUCCCGGCAAGUACCGCACCCUCCUCAGUGACUACGUAGCGCUGGCCAGGACGCGCCUGGCCGACCUCAAGGUUUCUAUAGAAAACAUGGGGCUCUACGAGGAUCUGUCUUCAGUCGGGGACAUCAUGGAGCCCCACAGCCGAGCGGCCCGGGAUGUUGAGAAGGCCAUCGUGGUGUUUGAACACACGGGGAAGAUUCCUGUCGCCGUCCUGGAGGCCAGCAUAUUCCGGAGGUCCUACUACCUGUCCCACUUCCUCCCCGCCCUGCUCACACCGCGAGUGCUCCCGAGGGUCCCUGAUUCCCGAGAGGCUCUCGUGGAGUCCCUGAGGAGAGCGGAUAAAAUCCCCCCAUCCCUGUACUCCACCUACCGCCAAGCCUGCUGCACUGCUGGAGAGAAGCCAGAAGAUGCAGCCCUGGGAAGGGAGGUGGAGCCCAGCUGUGCGGAGGAGCCGCUGGGCCUGCUCACCGCUGCCCUGCAGGAGCUCAGGGCCUCCGUGAUGGCCCCCACCCGGCACGACGCGCUGGAGGCUCAGAUGGCAGUGGUCUCUGACCGGCUGUGCUCCGCCCUGGGCCUCGGCGAGGACAGCGUCGGCGUGGAGGAAGCCCCGGUUCAGCUCAGCAUCCGGGCCCCCGAGCUGCGGCCACGGGAGCAGAGGGUCGUGGACCUUGUGCUGACCUCUUUCUGUCAGAACCUCAUGGCAGCCUCCAGCCUCAGCCCACCAGACAGGCAGGGGCCCUGGGCCUCCCGCUUCGUGAGGACCCUGUGUGGACGCAGGCUCCUGCCGGCUGUGCUCGCCAGGCUCUGCCAGCUGCUCCGUCACCAGGGCCCGAGCCUGGGUGCCUCGCACGUGCUGGGGUUGGCCGCCCUGGCCGUCCACCUCGGCGAGUCCAGGUCUGCUCUCCCGGAGGUGUGUGUGGGCCCUUCCGCCCCUGCCAGGGGCCUGCCCGUCCCGCAGCUCUUCGACAGCCUCCUGCCCUGCGGGACCCGGGAGUCCUCGGCCCUGUGUCUGAAGUUUUGUACAGCGGCAAUUUCUUAUUCUUUGUGUAAGUUUUCUUCUCAGUCACAUGACGUCUUGCUCAGCUGCUUGUCUCCAGGCCUGAUAAAAAAGUUCCAGUUCAUCAUGUUCAGAUGGUUCUCAGAGGCCCGAGACCCCCCCUCUUGGGAAGACCCGGCUGGCCCUCCCUGGAGGCCCCUGUGCCUGCCCGCCGUGGACUGGCAGCGAGCCGCCCUCUGCCUGUGGAAGCAGAGGACCUUGCAGGAACUGCUGAAGCAGGAAGGAUUCCAGUUGACUUAUAGAGACUGGUUACAGCUGGAACUAGAAGUUCAGCCAGAAGCUGAUUCUCUUUCAGAUACAGAAAGGCAGGAGUUCCAGCAGUGGGCCAUCCACCAGCACUUCCUCCCUGCGCCCUCUGGUGCCGGCGGCUGUGACGGGGACCUGGAGGUCGCCUGCACCACCCUUGUCGACGUGCUCAUGGACGUCUGCCAAAGUUCAAAGAAUUAUGAUCACUCACAGAACUCGGAUUUGGUCCUUGGUGGCUGCACAGGAAAUCGGGAUAUUUUUUCCAGAUUGCAGGCACCCUGCCAGCCCCACCUCGGGGCCCUCCUGCGUAAGAGGCCCCGGGAUUUCUGUCUCUGGCCGUGCCUCCUGCAGGAGAUGGCUGCUGACCUGGAGCAGGGCCCGGCGCCCCCCGGCCACGCUGUGGCCCGGGAGCAUUUCCUCUUCGGAGUUUUCCGCAGACGCCUCCAGGCCCUGGCUGGAGGGUGGGACGUGGCCAGCCGCCUGCAGAGACAGCGGGAGCUGCUCACGUGCAAACGCGUCCUCCUGGGCCUGCCCCCCUCCGUGCUCGUCGGCGGCCCCCGCGCGGAGCAGCCGGCCGACCCCAACUGCGACGACUUCUUCCACUGGGUCAACUCAGAGCUGAGAAACGUCUCCCAUGGCGGCGCCCUGACUCACGACGUCACCGCCCACUUCUUCAGGGGGCUCCUCAACGCCUGUGCGCGAAGCAGAGACCCCUCCCUGGCAGCCGACCUGACCCUGACCGCCUGCCAGACCCAGUGCCCCUUGCUCCUGACCUCUGCUCUGCUGUGGUGGCCGUGCCUGGAGCCCGAGCUUCACCGCCGGUGGGGGAGGUGCUCCCGCAGCCCGCUGCCCGCACAGCUGCGGAGGCUGCAGGAGGCCCAGCACUUUGCCGGGAGCGUCCUCUCCCGCCUCGUGGUGCCCCCUGCGCCUGGCCCAGCCUGGCUCUGCGCGGCUGCCCUGCACUUCGCGAUCCGACGGGCCAGGAAGGAGAGCAUUGGGCGGGAGCUGGGGCAGCUGGACGGGCAAGGAGAGGAGCUGUUGGUUUCCCUAUUUUUUUUUUCCUUGAUGGGCCUGCUCUCUUCACAUCUGACCCCGCAGGCCGUCAGCUCCCCGAAGGCCCUGGACAUCUGUGCCGAGGUCCUGGGGCGUCUGCAGGGAAGGAGGAUUUCCUGGCUGCCGCUCUUCCAGCUGACGGAGGCGGAUGCCGGCCUGGGGCGCACCCUCCUCCGCGUGGCCCCCGACCACCAGGUCAGGCUGCUGCCCGUUGCCUUCUACAGUCUCCUCUCCUACUUUGAUGAGGACGCCCUCCUCCAGGAAGACGCCUUCCUACACGUCGCUGUCAACAUGUACUUGAAGCUCAUUGGCCUCUUCGUGGCCGGGGAGACCGGGACGCUCUGGACUGUGGCCUGUGGCGGGGAGCUCCGGGCCCAGGCAGGUGCAGGGCCAGGCCCAUCUCCAGACAGACCCGGGCGGCCAGCUCUCGGGGAGCGUGUGGCUUGGGCAGCCCUUUCCGGCGCAGCGCACAGCGGCGGACGUUCUGACUGUGGUUCUGCCUGUGUUCUUUCCAGGGUGACCCCGUAAGCCUGAUAACAGAUGCUCGUCUCUUUCUCCUGCGAGCGAUACCUCGGUGCCCGAAAAGGAGCUUCUCACACGUGGCGGAGCUGCUGGCCGCGAGUGGAGACUGUGACCCAGACGUGAGUGCCGCCCUCCUGCACAGGCAGCAGGCCCUGCUGCACCCUGACCUCCACCAGGAGCCCCGGCUCUUCUGACUGGACCUGCACAAGGCACAGCCCAGCUCCC